AGAGUUUGAUCAUGGCUCAGGAUGAACGCUAGCUACAGGCUUAACACAUGCAAGUCGAGGGGCAGCAUGUUGGUUGCUUGCAACCAAUGAUGGCGACCGGCGCACGGGUGAGUAACGCGUAUCCAACCUACCCUUGUCCAUCGGAUAACCCGUCGAAAGGCGGCCUAACACGAUAUGCGGUUCUCAGCAGGCAUCUAACGAGAACGAAAUGUGAAGGAGAAGGAUGGGGAUGCGUCUGAUUAGCUUGGUUGGCGGGGUAACGCCCACAAGGCGACGAUCGAGUAGGGGUUCUGAGAGGAAGGUCCCCCANAUUGGAACUGAGACACGGUCCAAACGUCCUACGGGAGCA
rnacentral:rRNA from 1 species